rnacentral:tRNA from 1 species
GUGACCGUAGCUUAACCGGCAGAGCGCUAAAACGCCGUUGUUCGCCCCUUGCCCGGAUCGGGCCGAUGAAUGACGGUUAUCGACUGUUAAUCGAGAAGGUGCGGGUUCGAGUCCCGCCGGUCACG